rnacentral:rRNA from 1 species
AGCGAACGCUGGCGGCAGGCUUAACACAUGCAAGUCGAACGCCCCGCAAGGGGAGUGGCAGACGGGUGAGUAACACGUGGGAACGUACCCUUCGGUUCGGAAUAACUUGGGGAAACUCAAGCUAAUACCGGAUAAGCCCUUAUGGGGAAAGGUUUACUGCCGAAGGAUCGGCCCGCGUCUGCUUAGCUAGUUGGUGAGGUAAUGGCUCACCAAGGCGACGAUCCGUCGCUGGUCUGAGAGGAUGAUCAGCCACACUGGGACUGAGACACGGCCCAGACUCCUCCGGGAUGCAGCAGUGGGGAAUAGGUGACAAUGGGGGCAACCCUGAGCCAGCCAUGCCGCGUGAGUGAUGAAGGCCUUAGGGUUGUAAAGCUCUUUUACCCGGGACGAUAAUGACUGUACCGGGAGAAUAAGCCCCGGCUAACUUCGUGCCAGCAGCCGCGGUAA